rnacentral:tRNA from 1 species
UUAGGGUAUCGCCAAGUGGUAAGGCAUCGGGUUUUGGUCUCGAUAUUCGGAGGUUCGAAUCCUUCUACCCUAGA